AGCCUUCUGUAUCCGUGCUGAGAUUUCGUCACACUAAACUACAAGGGCUAAUGAGACUUCCAAGAUAAGUGAAGCA
rfam:Schistosoma margrebowiei strain Zambia genome assembly, scaffold: SMRZ_scaffold0000316